GCCUAGAGAGAACCACAGAAGGACCCUCAGCAAAGCCUCAAAGAACAAAGCUCCUGAGGGCCUUUACCCAGGGACCCAGGCCUCACUCCCCCACUUCUCUAAUCUGCCCACGAGCCAGGACACCGCUCUACAUCCCAGCCAUGACUAAGCCUGCUCUGGAAAGUCUAUCCAGGACAUUAUUCCUCCUCCCCUGCCCGCUGCCCUCCUGCUCUCUGCUCCCCUUCCCAUGGCCACUUCUUCCCCUGCUCAGACUCUAUAAGGCACUGCCACCGUCCCCCACCCAACAUCAACCAAAAAUCCUUCACUAGAAGGUAUCACACCACCGAAUCCUCCCAACAUCCUCUGAGGCCAGUGUUAUCGCUUCCAUUUUACAAAAGAAGAAGCUGGAGCCACACAGCUGGUUUGUGUAACUCAUCCAAGGUGACUAUGCUGGCAAGAGGUGGGUGAGCACUCAAGCUGCAUGCGGCUCCAGGGGCCACUGCCUCUAACACACGCCCCCCAUGGGACCUUCCUCCCCAGCAGGAUGCUAAGAGCUGCACCUCCAGGGAGUCGAGCGACAUGAGUUGACACCAAAGGGCUGGGGAAAGUGAAGAGGCCUGCCCACAGAAUCCCCCAACAUCGUGGCUCAGGAGGGGGCUCCAUGGGUCACUUCCACAAAAGGACAGCCCAGGAGGGCUCUGCCCUGAGGGGUGAAUGGAGGAGGGGAGGGGCGUCAUGGGCUGAAGUUCGCCACUUAUCAGCGUGCGUCUCUGCUGCCGUGCUGGCCAGCCUGCUAGCAGGUGAUGCAGGGAGCUUGGUGACAGGAAGUCAUGUGACCUUUCCACACCGCCUGCCAAGGCUGUCAUGGAGUCAUCAUCCCCUCCCUGCCUAGCAUACGUGUGGAGUGGAGAUCCAAAUAGGAUGACAGAUUUGCAAGUCCCCGGUCAGAGGUCCCAGGACGCAAUCCCAGGAGCUCACCUGGGUCCCCUGAGGAGCUUUCUCAACCCAACACCCCAUUCUGCCAGGAAUAUCUGAGACCCUCCCAUCAGAGACCUUCACAAAUGGGACCACGUUUAGGGAAUGUGCCCAGAAUGAGCGAAGGACUCGACACCACUCUCUGUGAGCAGUGGCCGAAGGAACUGGAGCUACUUGGCCUGGAGAGAAGAUGGCCUGUGGGGGCCACCGAGCCAGGGUCACGGCCAGCAGCCCGAGUGUAUACACCAGGGGAUGGGAUGCUGAAUGGGGGCCAAGGAGUGGAAGCUCCAGAAGUACGGACUGUCAAGCUGAGCUGAGGAGAUGCCAUCUAACAAGAACCUCAACCCAGGGAUGCUGGCUGCGGCAGGAGGUGGGGAGCUUACUGCCACGGGAGGUGGGAGGUGGCCGCGGAGGCCAGGCCCUGAUGAUCGAGGAUGCCGUGGAAGGAGUUUCUGGGCACAUACC